GAGUAAUGUGACUCGAGACCAAAAUCAACGAUUACAAUUAAUUCCUGGAAAUUAUACCAAGACCACUUUUACGUUUUUGGAGACUUAUUGAUUCAAGUAAAGGUUGCAGAGUUUAAGGCUAUGACAGGUUUUAUAUCAACAAUCUUUAAAACUACAAAAAAGGGUAUACUGAAUUGAUGAAUGGUUAUUUUGUACAAUUUCAAUAUAUAAAAUCCAGAUAACGAUAUUUUUGGGUAUUUUAGCCCUUGUUAGAACUGGUUCCUCUGCAACUUAUUUCACCCCUGAAACUACGCCGUCAUCAAUAUACUCACAAGUCUACAGUUUGACCAAUAAUAAAGCAUUAGUUGGACCUGCCCCGAUAUAUGAAGAGGAUAUACCGUCGCAAGAAACAAGAAAAAACUCCUUUAAAUCACAUAAUAAUAUAUAUCCUGCUUUGACGAAUUUUCAAGCACACGUUUCUGACUUAACACAUCCAACUACUUACGAUCAAACAGUUAGUGCGCUUAGUGGUUAUACACCAAGUGUUUUUUCGUCUCCACUUACGAGUAGUAGAAUUUCUAUUCCUGUUACAUAUACAACACAUACUCACAGCAACCCUUUUGAAACGCACACAUCUCAACUUGUUACAAAAACGUCAGGAUCAACGCAUAAUCCCCGCACACCGAUAGACCAAAAUGAAGCCAUUAAAACUACCAUAACUUACGCC
rnacentral:misc_RNA from 1 species